UGCAUAGGAAUCUGCCCGAUAGUGGGGGAUAACCUGGGGAAACCCAGGCUAAUACCGCAUACGUCCUACGGGAGAAAGGGGGCUCCGGCUCCCGCUAUGGGAUGAGCCUAUGUCGGAUUAGCUAGUUGGUGAGGUAACGGCUCACCAAGGCCACGAUCCGUAGCUGGUCUGAGAGGAUGAUCAGCCACAUCGGGACUGAGACACGGCCCGAACUCCUACGGGAGGCAGCAGUGGGGAAUAUUGGACAAUGGGGGCAACCCUGAUCCAGCCAUGCCGCGUGUGUGAAGAAGGCCCUCGGGU
rnacentral:rRNA from 1 species